GAUGAAGAACUCAGCGAAAUGCGAUACUUGGUGUGAAUUGCAGAAUCCCGUGAACCAUCGAGUCUUUGAACGCAAGUUGCGCCCGAAGCCACUAGGCCGAGGGCACGCCUGCCUGGGCGUCACACGUCGUUGCCCCCCACCAUCUACUCCUUCGGGAUUGCGGGGGGCGGAUGAUGGCCUCCCGUGCGCCUAGCCGCGCGGUUGGCAUAAAUACCAAGUCCUCGGCGACGCACGCCACGACAAUCGGUGGUUGCGAAACCUCGGUUGCCCGUCGUGUGCGUUCGUCGCGCAUCGAGGGCUCGAAAAAAUGCUCGGCUCCGGCUCGGCUUUCAACGCGACCCCAGGUCAGGCGGGGUUACCCGCUGAAUUUAAGCAUAUCAAUAAGCGGAGGA
rnacentral:misc_RNA from 1 species